AUAUCGUAAAUUUAAUAAUUAAUCUAAACAAUAACUGCAGAUAAUAACUACU
rnacentral:sRNA from 1 species